rnacentral:lncRNA from 1 species
GAGCUGACAUUUCCAAGUACCUAAGGAUGGGGAAGAGAGCACUCCAGCUCUGUCUGAACGGCGCUCUCCCUAGGGAAUGAGCCAUUGCCAAAACAUGUGAGCAACUCUCCACUGUGUAAUUCACCUGCGUGGCAGCCCGUUCCUUUACUACUGAGGGGAUUGUCUCAGCGGGCCUUCAGCCAGGCCAUCACCUGCAGGUGGAUUUUCCUCAUUGCCCAGCAGUCCACGGUGAGGGGCUGGGGAUGCCCUCACAUGGUUUUGAUGAGGAAAUUAGUGACUCACUCUCCCGCAGCUGAAACCACACUGAACCCCAGUGAAGUCUCACACGGUUUUUCACUGGAGAGUUUAGGAACAUGGAGGAGACGAGAGAUGCUUCAAAGGACUCUACAAACAACCAGAAAGACAAUUUGAAGGUAAAUAAUACGCUGGGAAAAUCUACGAGACAAAUAUGACAGAUGAAGACCUAAAAAGUUAGAGACGCCUCAGCUUUCAGGAGAGAAAUACGAAAGCAAGGCUUUAUUUACUUCAGAUAUAAAUACUUUUUAAGAUAUAGCUCAUUAUUUCAUUUUGCUGAGAAUUUUUUGGAGCUAAUUGUCAAUAACUUUUAUAAUUUUAAGUUGGACCAAUUUGAUAACCGCGAUAUUUAGGUCCCCAUGGAGGCACUUGAAAAAUGGGUUAAGUAACACAGGGCUGAGGAUGAGCCCUGUAACAAGCCACUUGACAGCUCCCUCAGGUGGGCGCGGAUCCUGAGCCCAGGGGCUGGCCAUUCACCUCAAAGAGAAGUCACCCAGCUGUACUGGCGUCCAGCCCACACUUCUUCGUCAGGAUUCAUGAAGAUUGUGAAAGACAGCACGUCUCAUGAAGUCAAGAAACACAGUAGUUACGGAGUUCUCCAGCUCUUUCACUAGUUGAAUUUUCAAAAAUGGAAGUGAACUCAAUUUCAUACGACUUGUUCUUACUGCAUACAUGAUAUCUUCUGGCUUUCCGCUCAGCAAGCCCCAUGCCUUGUGACAUUACUUCUGCUCUGUUUACCAAUAGUGUGAGUCAGGGCUUGUGGUUGUGGCAAAGUCAUCUCCCCAGCAGCUUUAUCUUCUCUGACUUCAGGAAAGGCACCCAUGGACUGGAAGAGAAACCUGGAAGAUCCAGUGGUCCGAGAUGUAUCAUCUCUGCAUGGCAGCCUUUGGCCUAGUGAAGUUUAGAAACUAUAGGCCAGAUUGUCCCUGGCUUCAGCCUGAAAGUUUUCUGUUCAUAAAAUAAUUCUUUUGCGAAAUGGCACAUAAUUACUUCACAGUUGAACUUUGGUAUUAGCUGCUUUCUUUGUGUACAAUCUUCAACCCAUUCAACAAUAAAAAUGUCAUCAGAUUAAUCUUUCCAAAUCAUGGUCCUGAUUGUCAAGAUGGCGACUACUCCCAACCCCAACUCUAGAUUGAAUUUGCUUCUUAUCUGG